rnacentral:tRNA from 2 species
GCGGCUCUGGUGAAGUGGUUAACACGUCGGAUUGUGGCUCCGAUAUGCGUGGGUUCGAUUCCCACGAGUCGCCCCA